rnacentral:rRNA from 1 species
GAUCCUGGCUCAGGAUGAACGCUAGCUACAGGCUUAACACAUGCAAGUCGAGGGGCAGCAUGGUCUUAGCUUGCUAAGGCCGAUGGCGACCGGCGCACGGGUGAGUAACACGUAUCCAACCUGCCGUCUACUCUUGGACAGCCUUCUGAAAGGAAGAUUAAUACCGGAUAGUAUCGAGAGAUUGCAUGAUUACCCGAUUAAAGAUUCAUCGGUAACGGAUGGGGAUGCGUU